GACGAACGCUGGCGGCGUGCUUAACACAUGCAAGUCGAACGGAAAGGCCCUGCUUUUGUGGGGUGCUCGAGUGGCGAACGGGUGAGUAACACGUGAGUAACCUGCCCUUGACUUUGGGAUAACUUCAGGAAACUGGGGCUAAUACCGGAUAGGAGCUCCUGCUGCAUGGUGGGGGUUGGAAAGUUUCGGCGGUUGGGGACGGACUCGCGGCUUAUCAGCUUGUUGGUGGGGUAGUGGCUUACCAAGGCUUUGACGGGUAGCCGGCCUGAGAGGGUGACCGGCCACAUUGGGACUGAGAUACGGCCCAGACUCCUACGGGAGGCAGCAGUGGGGAAUAUUGCACAAUGGGCGGAAGCCUGAUGCAGCAACGCCGCGUGCGGGAUGACGGCCUUCGGGUUGUAAACCGCUUUCGCCUGUGACGAAGCGUGAGUGACGGUAACGGGUAAAGAAGCACCGGCUAACUACGUG
rnacentral:rRNA from 1 species